rnacentral:rRNA from 1 species
UACGUAGGGUGCAAGCGUUGUCCGGAAUUAUUGGGCGUAAAGAGCUCGUAGGCGGUCUGUCGCGUCUGCUGUGAAAACCUAGGGCUUAACUCUGGGCGUGCAGUGGGUACGGGCAGGCUAGAGUGCGGUAGGGGAGACUGGAAUUCCUGGUGUAGCGGUGAAAUGCGCAGAUAUCAGGAGGAACACCGGUGGCGAAGGCGGGUCUCUGGGCAUUAACUGACGCUGAGGAGCGAAAGCAUGGGGAGCGAACAGG